UACGAAGGGGGCUAGCGUUGCUCGGAAUCACUGGGCGUAAAGCGCACGUAGGCGGACUCUUAAGUCGGUGGUGAAAUCCUGGAGCUCAACUCCAGAACUGCCUUCGAUACUGAGAGUCUUGAGUCCGGGAGAGGUGAGUGGAACUGCGAGUGUAGAGGUGAAAUUCGUAGAUAUUCGCAAGAACACCAGUGGCGAAGGCGGCUCACUGGCCCGGUACUGACGCUGAGGCGCGAAAGCUAGGGUAGCAAACGGG
rnacentral:rRNA from 1 species